rnacentral:rRNA from 1 species
UGGCUCAGGACGAACGCUGGCGGCGUGCCUAAUACAUGCAAGUAGAACGCUGAAGACUUUAGCUUGCUAAAGUUGGAAGAGUUGCGAACGGGUGAGUAACGCGUAGGUAACCUGCCUACUAGCGGGGGAUAACUAUUGGAAACGAUAGCUAAUACCGCAUAACAGCUUUUAACUCAUGUUAGGAGCUUGAAAGAUGCAAUUGCAUCACUAGUAGAUGGACCUGCGUUGUAUUAGCUAGUUGGUGAGGUAACGGCUCACCAAGGCGACGAUACAUAGCCGACCUGAGAGGGUGAUCGGCCACACUGGGACUGAGACACGGCCCAGACUCCUACGGGAGGCAGCAGUAGGGAAUCUUCGGCAAUGGGGGCAACCCUGACCGAGCAACGCCGCGUGAGUGAAGAAGGUUUUCGGAUCGUAAAGCUCUGUUGUAAGAGAAGAACGUGUGUGAGAGUGGAAAGUUCACACAGUGACGGUAACUUACCAGAAAGGGACGGCUAACUACGUGCCAGCAGCCGCGGUAAUACGUAGGUCCCGAGCGUUGUCCGGAUUUAUUGGGCGUAAAGCGAGCGCAGGCGGUUUAAUAAGUCUGAAGUUAAAGGCAGUGGCUUAACCAUUGUUCGCUUUGGAAACUGUUAGACUUGAGUGCAGAAGGGGAGAGUGGAAUUCCAUGUGUAGCGGUGAAAUGCGUAGAUAUAUGGAGGAACACCGGUGGCGAAAGCGGCUCUCUGGUCUGUAACUGACGCUGAGGCUCGAAA